rnacentral:rRNA from 1 species
CGGGGUUGCGGACAGUGUCUGGUGGGUAGUUUGACUGGGGCGGUCUCCUCCCAAAGAGUAACGGAGGAGCACGAAGGUUAGCUAAUCCUGGUCGGACAUCAGGAGGUUAGUGCAAUGGCAUAAGCUAGCUUGACUGCGAGCGUGACGGCGCGAGCAGGUGCGAAAGCAGGUCAUAGUGAUCCGGUGGUUCUGAAUGGAAGGGCCAUCGCUCAACGGAUAAAAGGUACUCCGGGGAUAACAGGCUGAUACCGCCCAAGAGUUCAUAUCGACGGCGGUGUUUGGCACCUCGAUGUCGGCUCAUCACAUCCUGGGGCUGAAGUAGGUCCCAAGGGUAUGGCUGUUCGCCAUUUAAAGUGGUACGCGAGCUGGGUUUAGAACGUCGUGAGACAGUUCGGUCCCUAUCUGCCGUGGGCGCUGGAGAAUUGAGGGGGGCUGCUCCUAGUACGAGAGGACCGGAGUGGACGCAUCACUGGUGUUCGGGUUGUCAUGCCAAUGGCAUUGCCCGGUAGCUAAAUGCGGAAGAGAUAAGUGCUGAAAGCAUCUAAGCACGAAACUUGCCCCGAGAUGAGUUCUCCCUGACUCCUUGAGAGUCCUGAAGGAACGUUAAAGACGAUGACGUUGAUAGGUCGGGUGUGUAAGCGUAGCGAUACGUUGAGCUAACCGAUACUAAUGAACCGUGAGGCUUAACCUUACAACGCCGAAG